rnacentral:rRNA from 1 species
GUAAUUCAAGACCGGAAUGAAAGAGUCCACCAGAAAAGCCUUUUCUUAGUUGACAUAAUUAAAUUUUACCUUUUAGUAAAAAGGCUAAAAUAAUCCUUAAAGACAAGAAGACCCUGUAAAACUUAACAUAAAAAAGUCUCAUAAACUCUAAAUAUGUUCAACUGGGGCGGUAGAAAAAACCAACAUUUUCAAAUCUUUAGAAACCCUUUCUCAUACCCAAAACUUUUGAAAAUCAAACAAGCUACUUCAGGGAUAACAGCGUCAUAUACUUUUAAAGCCCUUAUUGACAAGUAUGAUUGCGACCUCGAUGUUGGAUUAA